GUGCUCACUUUGGCAGCACAUAUACUAACACUGGAACAAUGCAGGUAAGAUUAGCAUGGCCCCUGCUCAAGGAUGACAUGCAAAAUCAUGAAAAGUUCCAUAUUUUU